CGUAUUGGCAGCUGUUCAAACUCCGAUGCUGACGCCAAUAUUUCCAGCAAGCCCUUCAAAUUUGUUUUGGAGGUCACAGAAGAGCUAAAACGCUCUAUUGUGGUGUAACUGAUAUAAUAAUAUGACGCUAUCAUACCGAGAUUCAAAGGUGAAAGCAAAAAUUCAUCCUCAACAGUGACACAUUUACUUGCCUCCAA